rnacentral:misc_RNA from 2 species
AGCAGCCGCGGUAAUUCCAGCUCCAAUAGCGUAUAUUAAAGUUGUUGCAGUUAAAAAGCUCGUAGUUGAAUUUCGGGAUUGACGUGAUGGUCAUGCCUUAAGGGGUAUGAACUGUUACUGUUGAUUUCUCACCUUCUGGAGAAACUUGAUGUCCUUUAUUGGGUGUCUUGCGGAUCCAGGACCUUUACCUUGAAAAAAUUAGAGUGUUUAAAGCAGGCAUUUUUGCUCGAAUACAUUAGCAUGGAAUAAUAGAAUAGGACGGCAUGGUUCUAUUUUGUUGGUUUCUAGGAUCACCGUAAUGAUUAAUAGGGAUAGUUGGGGGCAUUAGUAUUCAAUUGUCAGAGGUGAAAUUCUUGGAUUUAUUGAAGACUAACUACUGCGAAAGCAUUUGCCAAGGAUGUUUUCAUUAAUCAAGAACGAAAGUUAGGGGAUCGAAGACGAUCAGAUACCGUCGUAGUCUUAACCAUAAACUAUGCCGACUAGGAAUCAGACGAUGUUAAUUUUUUCAAUGACUCGUUUG